rnacentral:rRNA from 1 species
CUGUGUGUUACAAGUGUCGACACGGGAACCUAGCCCGGGUCCGAUAAACCGGAGGAAGGUGGGGAUGACGUCAAGUCAGCAUGGCCUUUAUAUCCAGGGCUACACACACGCUACAAUGGCCGGUACAGAGGGCAGCGAAGCCGCGAGGCGGAGCGAAUCUCACAAAGCCGGUCUCAGUUCAGAUUGCAGGCUGCAACCCGCCUGCAUGAAGUUGGAGUUGCUAGUAACCGCAGGUCAGCAAUACUGCGGUGAAUACGUUCCCGGGUCUU